rnacentral:rRNA from 1 species
CCUACGGGUGGCAGCAGUGGGGAAUUGUUCGCAAUGGGCGAAAGCCUGACGACGCAACGCCGCGUGGAGGAUGAAGACCUUCGGGUCGUAAACUCCUUUCGACCGAGAAGAAUGGCUCUCGACCUAAUACGUCGAGAGCAUGACGGUACCGAGGGAAGAAGCCCCGGCUAACUCCGUGCCAGCAGCCGCGGUAAUACGGGGGGGGCAAGCGUUGUUCGGAAUUACUGGGCGUAAAGGGUCUGUAGGUGGCCAACUAAGUCAGACGUGAAAUCCCUCAGCUUAACUGGGGAACUGCGUCUGAUACUGGAUGGCUUGAGUGCAGGAGAGGAACGCGGAAUUCCAGGUGUAGCGGUGAAAUGCGUAGAUAUCUGGAGGAACACCGGUGGCGAAGGCGGCGUUCUGGACUGUAACUGACACUGAGAGACGAAAGCCAGGGGAGCAAACGGGAUUAGAUACCCUUGUAGUC